rnacentral:rRNA from 1 species
GAAUUAAGGUGAAACCGCGAAAGGCUCAUUAAAUCAGUUAUGGUUCCUUAGAUCGUACCCACAUUUACUUGGAUAACUGUGGUAAUUCUAGAGCUAAUACAUGCAAACAGAGCUCCAACCGGAAACGGAAGGAGCGCUUUUAUUAGAUCAAAACCAAUCGGUGGCGGUCUCCGUCAUCGUACAACUUGGUGAAUCUGAAUAACUUUACGCUGAUCGCACGGUCUCGCACCGGCGACGCAUCUUUCAAAUGUCUGCCUUAUCAACUGUCGAUGGUAGGUUCUGCGCCUACCAUGGUUGUAACGGGUAACGGGGAAUCAGGGUUCGAUUCCGGAGAGGGAGCCUGAGAAACGGCUACCACAUCCAAGGAAGGCAGCAGGCGCGCAAAUUACCCACUCCCGGCACGGGGAGGUAGUGACGAAAAAUAACGAUACGGGACUCAUCCGAGGCCCCGUAAUCGGAAUGAGUACACUCUAAACCCUUUAACGAGGAUCAAUUGGAGGGCAAGUCUGGUGCCAGCAGCCGCGGUAAUUCCAGCUCCAAUAGCGUAUAUUAAAGUUGUUGCGGUUAAAAAGCUCGUAGUCGAAUUUGUGUCCCGCGCCGCCGGUUCAUCGUUCGCGGUGUUAACUGGCGUGCCGCGGGACGUCCUGCCGGUGGGCUUAGCUCGAAAGGGCGGCCCAACUCAAUCCCGCCGCGGUGCUCUUCAUUGAGUGUCGAGGUGGGCCGGCACGUUUACUUUGAACAAAUUAGAGUGCUUAAAGCAGGCUAAAACUUCGCCUGAAUACUGUGUGCAUGGAAUAAUGGAAUAGGACCUCGGUUCUAUUUUGUUGGUUUUCGGAACACCCGAGGUAAUGAUUAAUAGGAACGGAUGGUGGCAUUC